GAAAUUAUACCUGCUAUCUUGUGUAAAUCUUCAUUGAAAGCCUCACAACUAUUUCAGGCUCAUUAGGGUUUAACAACUCCCCUUGCUAGUAUGUCUAAAUCUCCGACGAGUACAGAUUGUACAUCAGUGUUUUGUACUUUUCGCGCGAAAAUACUUUCAAUAGUCCACUGAAAGCUCAACACAUUGACGUGGCGUGUUUGUUUUCCCUGAAUGGAAUAUGCCAAACCAAUGAGUGUAGAAAAACAUGCUGCUUCUAACCAAGAUGUGUAGGAAAUAUUUUAAAGGGAGUGUUUACUAUCUCCCAUGUUUGUUUCUCAUGUUGAAGUUUCUAUUUUUGCUUGCUACUUUAUGUGAUUUCAUAAGAGCUGCACAAUAUCCCCGAAUUAAAAACAAAAAAAAGUUAUAUUUGUUUCGACUAUGGCCACUUUCCCUAACCAAACAUUCAUCAAAGUUUAAAGAUUCCUUUCAAAAUCUAGAGAUUUAGCUAUCAAUUUCAAAUUGGUAUUGGAAGCCGUGCUGCCCGGGGCACUAUUUCUUAAUUUUUUUUUCUUCUUUUAAUUUUGUCUAUUAUCUUUCAUUACAUGUUUUCUUGUUAUGUGGAAUCACACUGAUAUAAAUACCGUUCGCUUGCCAGACUUUACGAAAACAACCCUCGAGGCGUCUCGUUGAGACAUGCCAUUCUCUUAAUUAGAGAUAUGAGCUAAAAAAUUCAUAAUGUUUAGGUAUAUUGAUGAUCAGGUUCAAAACUACAGCUACUCGCCACAAAAAAAUAGUCAAAAUGUAUUUUCUUUCUCUUCAUUUAUUUGCUUUUUUUGGUUACCUAUUAAGAAAAGUGUAUACUUUCCUUUUUUUUUGCUUUUAAACAUUGAAAUUUGAGCCACCAAAACCAGCAAUUUGAUGGCAGAUUUUUGGCAACGAUUUUCGUGAAGAAUUUACUGCAUACUUUCCAAAUCCAUUCACUUCGACAUGUUCUUUCAUUCUAGCCUCCAUGUUAUUUGGAUAAACAGGCUCGGGUUCUAGGAAAGUCCGAACAAAAUUGCCGGCAAAGAUAUUGGUCAGUAUAUAAUGUUCUAGCUUCUCAAAUGCUUGGUGCAUUAUUCCUUGCACACUGUGGCAGGGUGCUGGGCUGGCGUGGGACGUGCCGGUGUCGAAUUGAACGUGAAGGCUGACUGGUAUAAGAAGCCAGAGAAUAAUAAACAUAGGGGUUUGUCUGACCACGGAACGUAAUUUGUGGUCAGCCGGUGUUGCAGUAAACAUACAAGAUUAUCGUGUUUUUGUUUGACCACUCAAAAAGUUUGUUAUUGAACAGACUCCUACGCCCUUGCACAAGUAUACUCUUUUCUGCUCAGAUAUUGUUGUCAUUUUAAAACAAAAAUGGUAAGAUCACGCUAAGCUUUUAUGGGAUUUAGACAAAUAAAUGCUAAGCAUUUUUGGGGACAUUUUUGGAAAUUUGCUCUUUGUUAUUUUGUACAAUUGCUUUUCGACGAUCUGGAAUAUAUUCACGAAGAGAAUUCAUUUUCUAUGCCUCAUUCAAGUGAAUUACUUGGAUUUUUCCAAUCAAAUAUUGUUUUCUCCGGUCGGUUUGAUGUUAGAAAAAACCGUUGUGUAUAAACAGGAGCGAGGAGCACGCAAUGUAUGAAUGAUUCACGAAGCAUGUGGGA